rnacentral:rRNA from 2 species
GGAGGAAUAUUGCACAACGGGGGGAACCCAGGUGCAGCAACGCCGCGUGAGUGAAGAAGGCCUUCGGGUUGUAAAACUCUUUUCUGUGGGAUGAGGAAGGACAGUACCACAGGAAUAAGUCUCGGCUAACUACGUGCCAGCAGCCGCGGUAAGACGUAGGAGGCGAGCGUUAUCCGGAAUUACUGGGCGUAAAGGGCAAGUAGGCGGCGCAGCAAGUCAGUUGUGACAGGUUCCGGCUCAACUGGGAGAGGACGACUGAGACUGUUACGCUAGAGGACAGGAGAGGGGAGUGGAAUUCCUUGUGUAGCGGUGGAAUGCUCAGAUACAAGGAAGAACACCAGUGGCGAAGGCGGCUCUCUGGCCUGAUCCUGACGCUGAAGGGCGAAAGCUAGGGGAGCGAACGGG